rnacentral:rRNA from 1 species
UACGUAGGGCGCAAGCGUUAUCCGGAAUUAUUGGGCGUAAAGAGCUCGUAGGCGGUUUGUCGCGUCUGCCGUGAAAGUCCGGGGCUCAACUCCGGAUCUGCGGUGGGUACGGGCAGACUAGAGUGAUGUAGGGGGAGACUGGAAUUCCUGGUGUAGCGGUGAAAUGCGCAGAUAUCAAGAGGAACACCAGUGGCGAAGGCGAGUCCCUGGACAACACCUGACACUGAGGCACGAAAGCUAGGGGGAGCAAACAGG